UUAAAUAUUUUAUAGUACUCAGACAUCACUAAACACAGAGUUUUGGGUCUCUGGCAGGCGCUGGUCAGCCGGAGCCGACGCCCGAAGGCGGCGUGCCAAAGCAACAAAGGUAGGUAGACACGGUUUUGGGUAUUGAACCCAUUUAAAUCUUGCGACAAAAACGGGGCGUUAUUAAUGAUCCUUCCGCAGGUUCACCUACGGAAA
rnacentral:misc_RNA from 1 species